UUAAAAAGACAAGAGUAAUACAGG
rnacentral:piRNA from 1 species